rnacentral:pre_miRNA from 1 species
GUAGUACUUCCUCCGUUCUAAAUUACUUGUCGCUGAUAUGGAUGUAUCUAAAACUAAAAUACAUCUAGAUACAUCCAUACCUGCGACAAGUAAUUCGAAACGGAGGGAGUAUGUC